rnacentral:rRNA from 1 species
AGAGUUUGAUCAUGGCUCAGGACGAACGCUGGCGGCGCGCUUAACACAUGCAAGUCGAGCGAGAACCGGGCCUUCGGGCCCGGGGACAGCGGCGAACGGGUGAGUAACACGUGAGUAAUCCACCCUCGGCACCGGAAUAGCCCGGGGAAACCCGGAUUAAUGCCGGAUGGCCCAACAGCUCUUCGGGGCGGUUGGAAAAGGUAGCUUCGGCCUCCGGCCGAGGACGAGCUCGCGGCGGAUUAGCUUGUUGGUGAGGGUAACGGCCCACCAAGGCGACGAUCCGUAGCUGGUCUGAGAGGACGAUCAGCCACACUGGGACUGAGACACGGCCCAGACUCCUACGGGAGGCAGCAGUGGGGAAUCUUGCGCAAUGGGCGAAAGCCUGACACAGCGACGCCGCGUGGGGGAAGAAGGCUUUCGGGUUGUAAACCCCUUUCAGAAGGGACGAAGCUACUCGGGUUAAUAGCCCAGAGGGUGACGGUACCUUCAGAAGAAGCCCCGGCUAACUACGUGCCAGCAGCCGCGGUAAUACGUAGGGGGCAAGCGUUGUCCGGAUUUAUUGGGCGUAAAGAGCGUGUAGGCGGCCUGGAAGGUCCGUUGUGAAAACUCGAGGCUCAACCUCGAGACGCCGAUGGAAACCACCUGGCUAGAGUCCGGAAGAGGAGAGUGGAAUUCCUGGUGUAGCGGUGAAAUGCGCAGAUAUCAGGAAGAACACCCGUGGCUAAGGCGGCUCUCUAGUACGGUACUGACGCUGAGACGCGAAAGCGUGGGGAGCGAACAGGAUUAGAUACCCUGGUAGUCCACGCCGUAAACGAUGGGUGCUAGGUGUGGGAGGUGUCGACUCCUUCCGUGCCGAAGCUAACGCAUUAAGCACCCCGCCUGGGGAGUACGGCCGCAAGGCUAAAACUCAAAGGAAUUGACGG